rnacentral:rRNA from 1 species
UAGGGAAUCUUCGGCAAUGGGGGGAACCCUGACCGAGCAACGCCACGUGAGUGAAGAAGGUUUUCGGAUCGUAAAGCUCUGUUGUUAAGGAAGAACGAGUGUGAGAAUGGAAAGUUCAUACUGUGACGGUACUUAACCAGAAAGGGACGGCUAACUACGUGCCAGCAGCCGCGGUAAUACGUAGGUCCCGAGCGUUGUCCGGAUUUAUUGGGCGUAAAGCGAGCGCAGGCGGUUAGAUAAGUCUGAAGUUAAAGGCAGUGGCUCAACCAUUGUAGGCUUUGGAAACUGUUUAACUUGAGUGCAGAAGGGGAGAGUGGAAUUCCAUGUGUAGCGGUGAAAUGCGUAGAUAUAUGGAGGAACACCGGUGGCGAAAGCGGCUCUCUGGUCUGUAACUGACGCUGAGGCUCGAAAGCGUGGGGAGCGAACAGG